GAGUCACGCAUGUUGAGGUUAUUGCUCCAAGACUCAAAAGGGAGUCGGGAGGAUUCGAGCCUGGACCUUUUGAGCUCCCCAGUAUGGGCAAACUCAAAGGAGCUUUGUUGUCCCCGGGUCGUGAUGUCGCUGUGAUGAUGGGCUGGGAAGCAAGUGGACCCCAGCGCCUCGCCGUCCACAUCUUUUAAGAAUGGAACAGCCAGGGGUGGGGCGAGGGUGGCCUGUCUCCACGUAAAGUAGGAGUUUAUAGAUAAGGAAACUGAGGCCCACAUGGAUGUCACUUGCCAAAAGGCAGAGCCAAGGGCCAGGCGCGGUGGCUCACGCCUGUAACCCCAACACUGCGAGUCCGAAGCGGGCAGAUAUCUUGAGGUCAGGAGUUCGAAAACAGCCUGGGCAUCACAGCCGAGACCUCAUCUCUUGUUUGUUUGUUUGUUUGUUUGUUUGUUUUUUGAGACAGAGUCUCGCUCUGUCGCCCAAGCUGG
rnacentral:lncRNA from 1 species